AUAAAAAGAUGAAAUCAGUAUUAAGUUUGAUGAAUUCAUGGCACGUUUUCGAAAUGUAUUAUAUUUGAUCGAUCGAUUGGCGUAAUGUGUAAAUCUUUUUAUUGAUUUCUAACGGUAAAGUCUCCGGGCCAGUAAAUUUUUAAAACGAAUACGAUUCUUAAUAAAGUAAGUAAUGGGCCUUAAGAGAGCCCGUGGGGGCAAAUUGGUCGGGUUCUAAACCCACCCGCCAAUCAGUUGGAGCUGACUACAACCAUUGAACAACACUGAGCAAAGAUAAACUUUUGAUUUGAGGGGUUUCCGUUUGAAGCUCGUCACGUCGAACUGAUCUCUUCCUUCACUUCGAUACGGACAACAGUUUCUUAAUGAAGUUGAACAACGAAACUGUAUCGAUCGAGCUCAAGAACGAAGAACAAGAACCAUUGCGUUUUUAUUAACAUAAGCAUGUACCAGAUUAUGCAAGGAAGGAAACAGAUUGUAAGCCAAAAUGCCUACGAUUGUCCACAUACAAAUAUUUAAUAGGCAAGGCAUAAAGAGUAGUAUCAUAUAGCACAAGUUGAUUUCGCUUUUUGAGUUUUAUUCAUGUGACUAAACA